GGAGGAGAGCUUGUGGACGCGGGAUGGGAGGACGUGGAAGAGGAGGAGGGACUGGAGGGCGCGCAGGUUGCGGGGCUCGAGGAGGAAGCGGUGGAACUCCGGGUCGAGGUCCCGCUCGAGGGCCUCGUUGCGGGGCGCGAAGAUGGUGACGUUGCCCCGGCCGACGGCGUCCUCGAGCGCCUGCAGGAGCAGGGCCUUCUCCACCAGCUCCGCCAGCUCCGUGUAGCGCGAGUCCAGCAGCGCCACCAGCACCGAGUUGGAGCUCACCCCCGUGCUGCCGCUGCUGCUGCC
rnacentral:lncRNA from 1 species